rnacentral:lncRNA from 1 species
UGGAACAUGAAAUUUAGGGAUGAUACCUCUGCUGCUCAAGCAGCGGCUGAGUUUGCAGAACAUGCAAACCUAGCUGCCAUAGCUGUUGUAGAACUUUCUAGGCAAUAUUUUGUUGAUGAUGGUGGUUCAUGCCACUUAGGUUUCAAGGAUGAAAGGUUGGAACAUGGGCAAUCAUUUCCUAGAGAUGGUAAUGGUAAUUUGUCUAUUGGCAGGCAGAAUUGGAACAUUAAAUUUAAGGAUGCUACCUCUGCUGCAUAAGCAGGGGCUGAGUUUGUAGAACAUGCAAUCCUAGCUGCCAGAGCUGUUGUAGGACUUUCUAGGCAAUAUUGUGUUGAUAAUGGUUGUUCAUGCCACUUGGGUUGCUAGGAUGAAAGGUUGGAACAUGGGCAAUCAUUUCCUGAGAUGUUCAUUUUUCUGUUAGUAGGCAAAAUUGGAACAUGAAAUUUAAGGAUGCUACCUCUGCUGAUCAAGCAGCGGCUGAGUUUGCAGAACAUGUAAGCCUAGCUGCCAGAGCUGUUGUAGAACUUUCAAGGCAAUAUUGUGUUGAUGAUGGUUGUUCACUCCACUUAGGUUUCAAGGAUGAAAGGUUGGAACAUGGGCAAUCAUUUCCUGGAGAUGGUAA